rnacentral:lncRNA from 1 species
UGGAACCGUGCACCAUCUGCUGCCACCAAUUACUCAUUCAAUGGAAAUUAAGGAAUUUUGUCUUCCAAAUGAAACAUGAACUUUUCUAAUUGAACCACCAAGGUCUCCACGUCCCUGCAGCAUUACCGUGGCUUCCUAAGAGAGUUAAAAUCCAUUUCUUCACUCCAAUUGAAACUUCCAAGAAAGCACUGGACCCCACCAUAAGUCAUCCUUAAAAAUCUCUAUCACCAUUGACCAUCCUAUGCUCACCUACUCACUUUGUAAAAAUGGAAUUUCGGUUCUCUCUCUCUC